UGGGGAAUAUUGGACAAUGGGCGCAAGCCUGAUCCAGCCAUGCCGCGUGAGUGAUGAAGGCCUUAGGGUUGUAAAGCUCUUUCGCCGACGAAGAUAAUGACGGUAGUCGGAGAAGAAGCCCCGGCUAACUUCGUGCCAGCAGCCGCGGUAAUACGAAGGGGGCUAGCGUUGUUCGGAAUCACUGGGCGUAAAGCGCACGUAGGCGGAUUGUUAAGUCAGGGGUGAAAGCCUGGAGCUCAACUCCAGAACUGCCCUUGAUACUGGCAAUCUCGAGUCCGGAAGAGGUAAGUGGAACUGCGAGUGUAGAGGUGAAAUUCGUAGAUAUUCGCAAGAACACCAGUGGCGAAGGCGGCUUACUGGUCCGGUACUGACGCUGAGGUGCGAAAAGCGUGGGGGAGCAAACAGGAUUAGAUACCCUGGUAGUCCACGCCGUAAACGAUGGAGGCUAGCCGUUGGCGAGCAUGCUCGUCAGUGGCGCAGCUAACGCAUUAAGCCUCCCGCCUGGGGAGUACGGUCGCAAGAUUAAAACUCAAAGGAAUUGAC
rnacentral:rRNA from 1 species